rnacentral:rRNA from 1 species
GAACGGACGAGAAGCUUGCUUCUCUGAUGUUAGCGGCGGACGGGUGAGUAACACGUGGAUAACCUACCUAUAAGACUGGGAUAACUUCGGGAAACCGGAGCUAAUACCGGAUGAUAUUUUGAACCGCAUGGUUCAAAAGUGAAAGACGGUCUUGCUGUCACUUAUAGAUGGAUCCGCGCUGCAUUAGCUAGUUGGUAAGGUAACGGCUUACCCAAGGCAACGAUGCAUAGCCGACCUGAGAGGGUGAUCGGCCACACUGGAACUGAGACACGGUCCAGACUCCUACGGGAGGCAGCAGUAGGGAAUCUUCCGCAAUGGGCGAAAGCCUGACGGAGCAACGCCGCGUGAGUGAUGAAGGUCUUCGGAUCGUAAAACUCUGUUAUUAGGGAAGAACAUAUGUGUAAGUAACUGUGCACAUCUUGACGGUACCUAAUCAGAAAGCCACGGCUAACUACGUGCCAGCAGCCGCGGUAAUACGUAGGUGGCAAGCGUUAUCCGGAAUUAUUGGGCGUAAAGCGCGCGUAGCGGUUUUUUAAGUCUGAUGUGAAAGCCCACGGCUCAACCGUGGAGGGUCAUUGGAAACUGGAAAACUUGAGUGCAGAAGAGGAAAGUGGAAUUCCAUGUGUAGCGGUGAAAUGCGCAGAGAUAUGGAGGAACACCAGUGGCGAAGGCGACUUUCUGGUCUGUAACUGACGCUGAUGUGCGAAAGCGUGGGGAUCAAACAGGAUUAGAUACCCUGGUAGUCCACGCCGUAAACGAUGAGUGCUAAGUGUUAGGGGGUUUCCGCCCCUUAGUGCUGCAGCUAACGCAUUAAGCACUCCGCCUGGGGAGUACGACCCAAGGUUG